rnacentral:misc_RNA from 1 species
GAUGAAGAACGUAGCGAAAUGCGAUAAGUAAUGUGAAUUGCAGAUUUUCAGUGAAUCAUCGAAUCUUUGAACGCACCUUGCGCCCGUCAGUAUUCUGGCGGGCAUGCCUGUUCGAGCGUCAUUACGCCCCUCAAGUCCCCUGUGGACUUGGUGUUGGGGAUCGGCGAGGCUGGUUUUCCAGCACAGCCGUCCCUUAAAUUAAUUGGCGGUCUCGCCGUGGCCCUCCUCUGCGCAGUAGUAAAACACUCGCAACAGGAGCCCGGCGCGGUCCACUGCCGUAAAACCCCCCAACUUUUUAUAGUUGACCUCGAAUCAGGUAGGACUACCCGCUGAACUUAAGCAUAUCAAUAAGCGGAGGA